GGCUUCUAAACAACCCGCCCUCCCUCCGCGUCCUCUGCGGUCCAACUUACCCUGGAGACGCCGGGCCUGACGAAGUCGCGCCUGGCCUCUCCCGCUUUUCCAGACCGCUGACUCCUGUCCGCCGCCAUGGCAGAGUUGGGUCUAAAUGAGCACCAUCAAAAUGAAGUUAUUAAUUACAUGCGUUUUGCUCGUUCAAAAAGAGGCUUGAGACUCAAAACUGUAGAUUCCUGCUUCCAAGACCUCAAGGAGAGCAGGCUGGUGGAGGAGACCUUCACCAUAGAUGAAGUCUCUGAAGUCCUGAAUGGGUUACAGGCCGUGGUCCACAGCGAGGUGGAGUCUGAGCUCAUCAACACGGCCUACACCAAUGUGCUACUUCUGCGGCAGCUUUUCUCACAAGCUGAGAAGUGGUACCUCAAGCUACAGACAGACAUCUCUGAACUUGAAAACAGAGAAUUAUUGGAACAAGUUGCAGAAUUUGAAAAAGCAGAAUUUACAUCUUCAAAUAAAAAGCCCAUCAUAGAUAACAUAAAGCCAAAACUUGCUCCACUUAACGAAGGUGGAACAGCAGAACUCCUAAACAAGGAAAUUUUAAGACUUCAAGAAGAGAAUGAGAAAUUAAAGUCAAGGCUGAAGACCCUUGAAACACAGGCAACAAAUGCAUUGGAUGAGAAGUCAAAACUAGAAAGAGCACUGCAAGAUUUACAGCUUGAUCAAGGAACUCAGAAGGAUUUUAUAAAGACCCAAGACUUGAGUGACUUGGAAAACACAGUUGCUGCUUUAAAGAGUGAGUUUCAGAAGACACUUAAUGACCAGACAGAAAACCAGAAGUCCCUGGAGGAGAAUCUAGCGACAGCCAAGCAUGACCUACUCAGGGUGCAGGAGCAGCUGAGCAUGGCUGAAAAGGAAUUAGAGAAAAAAUUCCAACAAACAGCAGCUUAUCGAAACAUGAAAGAGAUUCUCACCAAGAAGAAUGACCAAAUCAAAGACCUGAGGAAAAGACUGGCGAAAUAUGAACCUGAAGAUUAAAAACUGAAGAAGAUUUCAUCUGGAAGCUGCCACUACAUGAAAGUACAAGCUGUUUCUCACCUCAGGUUUUAUAUUAAAGUACUGAAGGAACAAAUGAUGAAGGGUAAGAUAAUUUCCCCCCAAAAGGACACAGAAGGCAGUCUUAAAAAGGUGAAUGAAUGAGAGAAGGGAGGGGAAAAGAUCCACUAACAAGCCAGCACUUACUGCAUAGUUGUUUCUCACCCAUCCCUCACUAUUCAGGUCACUCAUUGGGUUCUGUGUCCUUUUAGAGCUUUCACUGAGGGUUCCAGUCUUACCCCAUAUUUCUUUAGGCAAAAAUUGAUUCUCUCUCUGAAAACUAUUCCAUUUUUUAUAGACCAGAAUAUUCUGUGUAAUUCAGAAACAGACCUCUUUAAAUGGCUUGUGUAUCUUUCAAAAACCAUUUAUUUUCUCUCUAUAUGUUUCUUAGUUUGAUGUCCAUAGGGAAGGAAGUUAUGUUGAGAAACCUAUGUUGCUAGGUAGAAUUUCAACUUUGUUUUCUUUUUUUUUCGGUAGCAACUUUUAAAUAUUCUAUAUAUGCAGUUCAGUAAUUCAAAAGUAUUUAUGAAACCUUAAAACCUAACUAGGCCCUGCAUUAAGAUAAACAAACAUGAUAUUCUUUGACAUAAAUUAACGUGAUGAUUCUUCCACAUAUAAAUACUUUCUGUGCCUGUUUUUGUCACUGUGUGUGUGUGUGUGUGUGUGUGUUAUGUGCCUAGCAAAAUG